rnacentral:rRNA from 1 species
AUUGAACGCUGGCGGCAUGCCUUACACAUGCAAGUCGAACGGCAGCGGACCUUCGGGUGCCGGCGAGUGGCGAACGGGUGAGUAAUAUAUCGGAACGUGCCUUUCAGUGGGGGAUAACGUAGCGAAAGUUACGCUAAUACCGCAUAUUCUCUGAGGAGGAAAGCAGGGGACCUUCGGGCCUUGCGCUGAUAAAGCGGCCGAUAUCAGAUUAGCUAGUUGGUGGGGUAAAGGCCUACCAAGGCGACGAUCUGUAGCGGGUCUGAGAGGAUGAUCCGCCACACUGGGACUGAGACACGGCCCAGACUCCUACGGGAGGCAGCAGUGGGGAAUUUUGGACAAUGGGCGAAAGCCUGAUCCAGCCAUGCCGCGUGAGUGAAGAAGGCCUUCGGGUUGUAAAGCUCUUUCGGCCGGGAAGAAAUCGCACAGGCUAAUACCUUGUGUGGAUGACGGUACCGGAAUAAGAAGCACCGGCUAACUCCGUGCCAGCAGCCGCGGUAA